GACGAACGCUGGCGGCGUGCUUAACACAUGCAAGUCGAACGGAAAGACCCUGCUUUUGUGGGGUGCUCGAGUGGCGAACGGGUGAGUAACACGUGAGUAACCUGCCCUUUACUUUGGGAUAACUUCAGGAAACUGGGGCUAAUACCGGAUAGGAGCUCCUGCUGCAUGGUGGGGGUUGGAAAGUUUCGGCGGUUGGGGAUGGACUCGCGGCUUAUCAGCUUGUUGGUGGGGUAGUGGCUUACCAAGGCUUUGACGGGUAGCCGGCCUGAGAGGGUGACCGGCCACAUUGGGACUGAGAUACGGCCCAGACUCCUAAGGGAGGCAGCAGUGGGGAAUAUUGCACAAUGGGCGGAAGCCUGAUGCAGCAACGCCGCGUGCGGGAUGACGGCCUUCGGGUUGUAAACCGCUUUCGCCUGUGACGAAGCGUGAGUGACGGUAAUGGGUAAAGAAGCACCGGCUAACUAAGUG
rnacentral:rRNA from 1 species